UGCAGGAAAUGUCUCAAUUUUGUUGCUUUUUAAGCAAGUUAUGUUUGGUGGUGGACUGGACUAAGUUGGUGAUUGGUUCCAAGAUUUGGAAAUUUUUAAAGAUCUUGGUUUUUUAGACUUAGGGGCCACAAUGCACUCUUUAAAUCCCCAAAGGACGACUAAUGUGAAAAAAUAGGUGCAAGAAAUGUUUCAAUUUAGUUGCUUUUCAAGCAAGCUGUGUUUGGUUGUGAGAUUGGACUAAGUUGGUGUUUNGUACCAAGAUUUUGAAAUUUUUGAACGUCUUGGUUUUUU
rnacentral:lncRNA from 1 species